rnacentral:tRNA from 1 species
GCCAGCAUGGCGUAGUGGUUUGAGCGCUGAACUAUGACUCUGGAGACCAGGGUUCGAAUUCCAGCUCAGCCA